CUGACUCAGGACGAACGCUGGCGGCGUGCCUAACACAUGCAAGUCGAACGGAGAGCAUAUGAAGUAUUCGGUACGGAAUGCGUUCUUAGUGGCGAACGGGUGAGUAACACGUGGGCAACCUGCCCCAGACUGGGGGAUAACAUUGUGAAAACAGUGCUAAUACCGCAUGACAGGGUUCCGGGCAUCCGGGACUCUUGAAAGGAGAAAUCCGGUCAGGGAUGGGCCCGCGUCCAAUUAGCUAGUUGGUGGGGUAACGGCCCACCAAGGCGACGAUUGGUAGCCGAACUGAGAGGUUGAUCGGCCACAUUGGGACUGAGACACGGCCCAGACUCCUACGGGAGGCAGCAGUAGGGAAUUUUCGGCAAUGGGGGAAACCCUGACCGAGCAACGCCGCGUGAAUGAAGAACCGUAUUUCGGUAUGUAAAGUUCUUUUAUUAAGGAAGAAUAUCACGGAUAGGAAAUGAUCUGUGAGUGACGGUACUUAAUGAAUAAGCCCCGGCUAACUAUGUGCCAGCAGCAGC
rnacentral:rRNA from 1 species